rnacentral:lncRNA from 1 species
UAUACAAGAAAUUUCUCUAAGAGGAGAGAAAGGAGAGAGAUCAUGGCAGAUGGGACAGAGACCUCAUACAGAUUUGUUGAAUUGCAACAUUAUGGGAGGUGCAAGUCACAUUUUUGGAAGAACAAGUCACAUUAUGUUGGAAUAUAUUUCUACAAGUUAUUAGCAGAAUUUUAAUUAGAAUAUUAUGGAGAAUGCAUGUGGCACCACUAAGCACACACCAUUUGAAUCAGAUAUGCUUCACUUUCAGACACAACUUAAAAAU